rnacentral:rRNA from 1 species
UGGGGAAUUUUGGACAAUGGGCGAAAGCCUGAUCCAGCCAUGCCGCGUGAGUGAAGAAGGCCUUCGGGUUGUAAAGCUCUUUUAGUCGGAAAGAAAGAGUCGCAAUGAAUAAUUGUGAUUUAUGACGGUACCGACAGAAAAAGCACCGGCUAACUACGUGCCAGCAGCCGCGGUAAUACGUAGGGUGCGAGCGUUAAUCGGAAUUACUGGGCGUAAAGGGUGCGCAGGCGGUUUUGCAAGUCAGAUGUGAAAGCCCCGGGCUUAACCUGGGAAUUGCGUUUGAAACUACAAGGCUAGAGUGCAGCAGAGGGGAGUGGAAUUCCAUGUGUAGCAGUGAAAUGCGUAGAGAUGUGGAAGAACACCGGAUGGCGAAGGCAGCUCCCUGGGUUGACACUGACGCUC